GAUGAACGCUGGCGGCGUGCUUAAUACAUGCAAGUCGAGCGAAAAGGCGCGGAGCUUGCCACUCUGACGUUAGCGGUGAAUGGGUGAGUAAUACGCUGAUAACCUAUCUAUAAUACUGGGGUAAAUUCGGGACAACUAAGCUAAUACCGGAUAAUAUAUUUAACCGCUUGGUUCAAUUUUUAACGAUGGUUUUUCUGUCCCUUAUAGAUGGUCUCGUGCCGCAUGAGCUAUUAGGUCAGGUCACGGAUUACCAACUCAACUAUGAGUAGCCGAGCUGAGAGCGGGAUCGGCCACACGGGAACUUAGACACGGGCCACACUCCAGCGGGCUGCAGCAGUAAGGAGUCGUCCACAAUGCGCGAAAGCCGGACGGAGCAACGAGACGUGAGGCAUGAAGGUCUUCGGAUCGUAAAACGCAGUUCUUAUGGAAGAACGAAGGUGUAAGUAACUAUGCACGUCUUGACGGUACCUAGUCAAAAAGCCACGGCUAACUACGUG
rnacentral:rRNA from 1 species